rnacentral:rRNA from 1 species
UCGAGCGAACAGAUAAGGAGCUUGCUCCUUUGACGUUAGCGGCGGACGGGUGAGUAACACGUGGGUAACCUACCUAUAAGACUGGAAUAACUCCGGGAAACCGGGGCUAAUGCCGGAUAACAUAUAGAACCGCAUGGUUCUAUAGUGAAAGAUGGUUUUGCUAUCACUUAUAGAUGGACCCGCGCCGUAUUAGCUAGUUGGUAAGGUAACGGCUUACCAAGGCGACGAUACGUAGCCGACCUGAGAGGGUGAUCGGCCACACUGGAACUGAGACACGGUCCAGACUCCUACGGGAGGCAGCAGUAGGGAAUCUUCCGCAAUGGGCGAAAGCCUGACGGAGCAACGCCGCGUGAGUGAUGAAGGGUUUCGGCUCGUAAAACUCUGUUAUUAGGGAAGAACAUAUGUGUAAGUAACUGUGCACAUCUUGACGGUACCUAAUCAGAAAGCCACGGCUAACUACGUGCCAGCAGCCGCGGUAAUACGUAGGUGGCAAGCGUUAUCCGGAAUUAUUGGGCGUAAAGCGCGCGUAGGCGGUUUCUUAAGUCUGAUGUGAAAGCCCACGGCUCAACCGUGGAGGGUCAUUGGAAACUGGGAAACUUGAGUGCAGAAGAGGAAAGUGGAAUUCCAUGUGUAGCGGUGAAAUGCGCAGAGAUAUGGAGGAACACCAGUGGCGAAGGCGACUUUCUGGUCUGUAACUGACGCUGAUGUGCGAAAGCGUGGGGAUCAAACAGGAUUAGAUACCCUGGUAGUCCACGCCGUAAACGAUGAGUGCUAAGUGUUAGGGGGUUUCCGCCCCUUAGUGCUGCAGCUAACGCAUUAAGCACUCCGCCUGGGGAGUACGACCGCAAGGUUGAAACUCAAAGGAAUUGACGGGGACCCGCACAAGCGGUGGAGCAUGUGGUUUAUUUCGAAGCAACGCGAAGAACCUUACCAAAUCUUGACAUCCUUUGACCACUCUAGAGAUAGAGCUUUCCCC